AUGUUUGAGAAUUUAUUUGCUGCAAUUAAUGUUUGUCCCAAGCUUGGGGAUGCUAUGUUUAAUCUAGAUGAUAUUUUUAGUCCUCCAAGUUUUGAUGAGAAAAUUUAUUAUGAUGAUAGCAUGCCUCCUAUUUAUGAUGAUUGCAAUAUUUAUGAAAGUGGGUUUGGAAGAGCGUCAACUUUAGAAAGUAAUGAUCCCACUAUCUUAGAGGGUGUUGAAUCUUAUUAUAAUGAUAAAAGUGGAUUUGGAGAGGUCAUGACUUUAUUUAGUAAUGAUUCCACUAUCUUGAAAGAGGUUUCAAUCGAUUAUGAUGAGAACAAAGUUACUACUUAUGAUGAUUAUUGUGAUGUCACUUAUGUUAUAAAAAGUAGUGAGGAUUAUAUUUAUAAAGCUUGUCAUAAUUAUGAUUACCCUUUUUCUGAAUAUUAUUCUUUUAAUAUGGAAACAAUUUAUAGUAUUCGAGUUUCUUAUGAUACUCCUACCAUUCCGAAUGAGAAUAAACUUGCUUAUGUGGAGAGUAAUAAAAUUUCUAUGCACUGGUACACGUCGGUCCAAUACAAAUGGUUUUUAACCCCUUUCCGCGAUGACAUUUGGAACCGUCCCUAG
rnacentral:rRNA from 1 species